rnacentral:rRNA from 1 species
AUUGAACGCUGGCGGCAUGCCUUACACAUGCAAGUCGAACGGUAACGCGGGGCAACCUGGCGACGAGUGGCGAACGGGUGAGUAAUGUAUCGGAACGUGCCCAGUUGUGGGGGAUAACUGCUCGAAAGAGCAGCUAAUACCGCAUACGACCUGAGGGCGAAAGCGGGGGAUCGCAAGACCUCGCGCAAUUGGAGCGGCCGAUAUCAGAUUAGGUAGUUGGUGGGGUAAAGGCUCACCAAGCCAACGAUCUGUAGCUGGUCUGAGAGGACGACCAGCCACACUGGGACUGGGACACGGCCCAGACUCCUACGGGAGGCAGCAGUGGGGAAUUUUGGACAAUGGACGCAAGUCUGAUUCAGCCAUGCCGCGUGCGGGAAGAAGGCCUUCGGGUUGUAAACCGCUUUUGUCAGGGAAGAAACGCUCUGGGUUAAUACCUCGGGGUAAUGACGGUACCUGAAGAAUAAGCACCGGCUAACUACGUGCCAGCCGCCGCCGUAAUAC